rnacentral:rRNA from 1 species
GGAUGUGCCGCAAGGUGCAUGGCAGACGGGUGAGUAACGCGUAGGGAAUCUACCUCUUUGUGGGGAAUAACGCUCCGAAAGGAGUGGUAAUACCGCAUGAGACCGUGGACUGGGAUGUUUACGGUGAAACCUGGGGACCGCAAGGCCUGGGGCAAGGAGAGGAUCCUGCGUCUGAUUAGCUAGUUGGCGGGGUAAUGGCCCACCAAGGCGACGAUCAGUAGCCGGCCUGAGAGGGUGAUCGGCCACACUGGAACUGAGACACGGUCCAGACUCCUACGGGAGGCAGCAGUGGGGAAUUUUGCGCAAUGGACGAAAGUCUGACGCAGCAACGCCGCGUGGGUGAUGAAGGUCUUCGGACUGUAAAACCCUGUCGUCAGGGACGAAGGUUGGGGGGUUAAUAACCCUUCAGCUUGACGGUACCUGGAGAGGAAGCCCCGGCUAACUCUGUGCCAGCAGCCGCGGUAAUACAGAGGGGGCAAGCGUUAUUCGGAAUUAUUGGGCGUAAAGGGCGCGUAGGCGGUUUUUUAAGUCAGAUGUGUAAUCCCCGAGCUCAACUUGGGAACUGCAUCUGAGACUGGAAGGCUAGAGUACUGGAGAGGGUGGUGGAAUUCCUCGUGUAGCGGUGAAAUGCGUAGAGAUGAGGAGGAACACCAGUGGCGAAGGCGGCCACCUGGACAGUAACUGACGCUGAGGCGCGAAAGUGUG